UGGAAAAACAGCAGUGUACUCUGAGAAUGAACCAAGUAUGAUCUCAUGAAAUCUAAUAAAGCAAAAUUUAACUCCACUAAUAGCAAAACUAAAGAAUCUAAUCAUCACCAAAUAGACCGAAACCAAUGUCUUCAUCAGACUCUUCUUCAGGCUCUUCCUUCUUAGCCUCCUCCUUGGCAGCGGCAGCAGGGGCACCGCCAGAUGCAGCAGCAGCUGGGGCAGCAACAGCUACAGCAAAUUUACUUGGGUCCUUCAGGUACUCCUUAACCUUGUCUGCCUCAGGGAAAGAAUAUUCGGUAGCAACGGCAAAAGCAAGAACGUUCUUGUAGGCAUUGACAAACAUAUGAGGAGCAGCGGCAAGUGUUGGAUUUGAAGCAAUGACCGAUAUGUUCGGUGCCUUGGUGUAACGUUAAGAGAUCUCAAGGAUCAAUUAAAUGAAUUCAACCAAGGAGUCAACUCCGGAGACACAAGGAGGAUGGAAUACGUUCGAUAUAAACGUACAACGCUCGAUGAGGAGAGAAUAUCAUUAAGUUGGGUGGAAUUAACGAACGACGAAAAUGUGAUGAGCAUAUUAUGGGAGCAGAGCAUGCUCUAAUGGAUUGAUAUGCGUGUAACGUUGCUGAGAUCAACUGAAGAUAUUAUCAAUAGUCUGAUUUCGCUAGAAGAUCGUGAUUAGGUAUGGAAUGCAUCUUCCAACUACAACAAUUGUCUUACCCUGAAAUGGAAAUUCAAACUUGUUAAACACCAGUUCCCAAACUUUUCACCCAGCAGUUCUAUUGUUCCAUUCAAAAGAUUA
rnacentral:lncRNA from 1 species